rnacentral:lncRNA from 1 species
GAGGGGUCACCACAGAGUGCACUGUUUGUGACUGGAACAUUGGGAAUGCUUCCACUAUGGAGAACCUGAUGGCACCAGGCAAUAGUAGUUCUCCCUGAAAUCUGAAUGCUUUCAAAAGAAAAUUGCAUCCCAUUCUGGCCUCUUCCAGCCUUCUCUCCGUUUCUCGGACACAACCCAGCCCUCACCUCAGAGCUGCUGUGCUUGCCGUUUCUUCAGGCCGGUCUCUCGCCCCUCACCUUUGCAGGGCCGCCUCAGGAGUUACCAGGUGUCUGCAUGAAGGUCACCUCUGCGCAGGCCUUUCCUUGCAUCCAGAACGAGCGGUCCUCCCUCUCAAUCACACUCCAGUGCAUCACCCUGUUUGUCUUCGGAGCUCACAGAACAAGCACAGUUCUUUACAUGUUGUGA